UGCAAGUCGAGCGCGAAAACACUUCGGUGUGAGUAGAGCGGCGGACGGGUGAGUAAUGCUUGGGAAUCUGCCCAAUAGUGGGGGAUAACGUGUGGAAACGCACGCUAAUACCGCAUACGUCCUACGGGAGAAAGCAGGGGAUCUUCGGACCUUGCGCUAUUGGAUGAGCCCAAGUCAGAUUAGCUAGUUGGUGGGGUAAUGGCUCACCAAGGCGACGAUCUGUAGCUGGUCUGAGAGGAUGAUCAGCCACACUGGGACUGAGACACGGCCCAGACUCCUACGGGAGGCAGCAGUGGGGAAUAUUGUCACAAUGGGCGAAAGCCUGAUGCAGCCAUGCCGCGUGUGUGAAGAAGGCUCUAGGGUUGUAAAGCACUUUCAGUGGGGAGGAAAACGUUCAAAACUAAUAUUUUUGAACCUUGACGUUACCUGCAGAAGAAGCACCGGCAAACUCCGUGCCAGCAGCCGCGGUAAUACGCGAGGGUGCGAGCGUUUAAUCGGAAUUACUGGGCGUAAAGCGCGCGUAGGUGGUUUGAUAAGCUAGCUGUGAAAGCCCUGGGCUCAACCUGGGAACUGCAGUUAGAACUGUCUGGCUAGAGUAUAGUAGAGGGUGGCGGAAUUUCCUGUGUAGCGGUGAAAUGCGUAGAUAUAGGAAGGAAUAUCAGUGGCGAAGGCGGCCACCUGGACUAAUUCUGACCCUGAGGUGCGAAAGCGCUGGGGAGCAAACAGGAUUAGAUACCCUGGUAGUCCACGCCGUAAACGAUGUCUACUAGCCGUUGGGAGACUUGAUCUAUAUAGUGGCGCAGUCUAACGCGUAUAAGUAGACUGCUAUGAGGGAG
rnacentral:rRNA from 1 species